AUAUCAGUCAUGCAUAGCAUAUCAAUAAGCGGAGGAAAAGAAACUAACAAGGAUUCCCCUAGUAACGGCGAGUGAAGCGGGAAGAGCUCAAAUUUGAAAUCUUAAAGGGUUUCCCUUUACGAAUUGUAGUUUAAAGAAGUGUUUUCUGUUGGAGUUUCGGUAAAAGUUCUUUGGAAUAGGACAUCAUAGAGGGUGAGAAUCCCGUAUUUGACCGUUACUUUCCAGCUGUGUGAUACACUUUCAAAGAGUCGGAUUGUUUGGGAAUGCAGUCCAAAAUGGGUGGUAAAUUUCAUCUAAAGCUAAAUAUUGGCGAGAGACCGAUAGCGAACAAGUACCGUGAGGGAAAGAUGAAAAGAACUUUGAAAAGAGAGUUAAACAGUACGUGAAAUUGUCAAAAGGGAAGCGUUUGACACCAGUGUUGUUUUUCCGAAAAUCAAUUACGAAUGUUUUGUUUUUAAGAAGUUAUGACUUCAUCGGCUUGCUUCUUUCUUUACGAAACUUUCUUAAUGCACCUUUCGGUUAACAAGUCAACAUCAAUUUCUUUUGUUGUAAAAGGGUACUGAGGAAGGUGGCUUUCUUUUCGGAGAAAGUGUUUAUAGCCUUGUACCUCUGCAAUCGGAGAGAUUGAGGUCUGCAGCGUAGAUCCUUCGGGGUUAGAUACAUUUGUGCUAAGUUAUAGCUUUUCAUAGACAACUUGUUGACUAUGUUUAGUCUUGUAGCUUACUCGCUGAUGCUAUUUUACCUACGCUUAGGAUGUUGAUCUCUCACAGUCGAGC
rnacentral:rRNA from 1 species